UUAGAGCUUUGACGCCUCCGUUUAAACGUUUUUUUGUAUUCAUCUUCCAUUGUUUAUUGUUGCUUUUAUUUUUCGUUUUCCUGGCGACUCGACAGAGGCAAACGCACAACAGUCAGAGCUCGUCAGCUGGGCUUUAAAUCGUCUGUCGGGAUCAUUAAUAAAUGGGCUGGAUUGAGUCGAAACAAAAAAAACUAAAGAAUUGCACAUCUCUCCGCUGAAAUCCAGCUGAAACCGAUUGCAGGUGUUGUUUCGAAUUAUUUUUCGGCAUGUUCGUGACAGCCUCUUUGGUGGCCGUUUAUUUCGACUAGCCAAUUGGCACAUUGCCUAAUUUUGUCUUUUCUUCUCUUUCUCUUCCUCAACCACAAAACUAGUUUGUUCGUGACUCGUGAUCAUCUUCUUUCUAAAUUCCUUUUUUCAACUUUCAAGUUGUAACUUUUUUUUUAAAUAGUCGGCCGUUUCGAAGUUGAAAACAUUUAUCUGGCAGUAGCGCCUAGUCGAAAACAAAAUGUCUGACUGUCAACGUCAAGUGUCUCCACAGUCCACACCCAACUUUAUCUGCAAAAGUGUUGAUGCUCCAGUUUAAAUCGACUCUGUGAUGAAACUAGUUUUAGGAAAAGAAGGGCCUCUAUGAAGAAGAAUCAAUCGGUCCAAAUCAGAGCAGCUGUUGAUUAUGAUGCUGGCUGUCUAAUUACCAAAGGAAAGCUUUGCAUACUUGCAUUUCACAUUUUGGUUACUCCCUUACGUGUGGUGUACUUGAUCUGUUAACAGCUGAUUGUAGCUGAUUGAAUGAGGCUCAAUUCCAAUCGAAUCAUCUUUCGAUUCAAUCGAGGCCUGGCACGUCCCCAUAUUUUAUCCAUUCUUUUAUAAACCUCUUCUUUCGCCCUUCAGUUUACUCGUCGCAUUUGGGCGACCUGGACGCAACCAUUCAACUCUCUUGAACAAGUGAACGUAGCCAGCCGAAAUUCAGACGAUCCAGGGAGAUAUCGUGACAAUCUAGUGCCAAUUGUGGCGAUGUCAGUGCUCUUUUAUCAAGUCUUCAUUCUUUGAAUGGUGAUUGAACUUUAAAGCCCUAUAAUUUGCUUGAAUAGAGAACCGUGAAAAAUGUGCUCGGUCUGAAUCUCGUAGACACGGAAAGCGCAAGACUAUGGCGGCUUUGCUUUGUUUCUUUCUGUUUGUGUGGUGUAAAAUGGGGCAUGGUUUGAAAUAAGCUCAUCGCACCCUACACACCCUAUACAAACAGAUCAAAAAUGAAACGGAAGCAAAUAAGAGAGCCGCUUGUUCGUAUUUCGUAAGGGGAGAAUCGCAACAGAUGGACGAGUGACUGGCAACAAUUUCUUCUUCUCCUCAAUCUCUGGUUGGUUGAAAUCACUGCAAAAGGUUUACUUUGCUCAAAGGCAGAAGAUGACCUUCCAGUUUUGCUUGAAAAACCUUUCGUUCCAUGCCAUUUCCUUUUGAAUGGUAUUUUCUCAUAUUUUCUGUCUAUUUAAAUGAAGAGUGCUGAUUUUCCGUUUGAAACCAUGAAUCAAAUUGAAGACUUGGCUCUGAAAUUUAUGGAAUCAGGUGUCACUGUACACCAUCAUCUGAGAAAUUUAUAAUGAAUUACCUUCAAAUCAUACUUCUACUCUGCCAAACUACUUCUGGACCAGUGUUUGCUGUUUGGUACAGAAAUUUUAAGUUAUGAACAAGGAGGAAUCCAGUGCUUUGCUUAUGAAGGAAAACCAGUCUUCUUUGCAAAGGCAAGAACAACCAAGUAUAGUGAAACUGAAGGCUCAAUUUGCUGAGAGAUCAUUUGUGAAGUGCAAAGCUGUUGAUCUCCGCCAAAUUCCCAUAAAAAAUUGCCAACAUUCAUCUAAUAUGGUUAUUGUAUCAGUAGCUCUUGUUCUCAUUAAUUUAUUCAUUAACCACUUGAUGAAUUUUGUGUUGCAUUUCCAGCAACCUCGGAACAGCUCAGAUAUUGUACUUGCAGUCCGAGGACUUAGACACACGUCCGACUGAUUUCUUGCAGGAAACGCCAGUUGGUUUCUGCGAAUCGCCCCGUCAAGGUUUUGUGGUUCCAUCACCCGUUGCAUCAAAUGGGGGGG
rnacentral:lncRNA from 1 species